rnacentral:rRNA from 1 species
AGAACGAACGCUGGCGGCAGGCUUAACACAUGCAGGUCGAACGCGUGUAGCAAUACACGAGUGGCGCACGGGUGAGUAACGCGUGGAUAUCUGCCUUUUGGUUCGGAAUAACCCCGGGAAACUGGGGCUAAUACCGGAUGGUUCCUUCGGGAUAAAGAUUUAUCGCCAAAAAGAUGAGUCCGCGUACGAUUAGCUAGUUGGUGAGGUAAUGGCUCACCAAGGCGACGAUCGUUAGCUGGUCUGAGAGGACGAUCAGCCACACUGGGACUGAGACACGGCCCAGACUCCUACGGGAGGCAGCAGUGGGGAAUAUUGGACAAUGGGGGCAACCCUGAUCCAGCCAUGCCGCGUGAGUGAUGAAGGCCUUCGGGUUGUAAAGCUCUUUGUGCGGGAAGAUAAUGACGGUACGCAAGAAUAAGCCCGGCUAACUUCGUGCCAGCAGCCGC